UCCCAAGCAGGCUCCACACUGUCCGGACUCGGGGCUCAGACUCAUGAAACCGUUGAGAUCAUGACCUGAGCCGAAACCAAGAGUUGGAUGCUUAACCAACGGAGCCACCCAGGUACCCCUAGGACCAGAUAUAUCUUUAGCUUACCAGCAAUAUAAGUCAUGUUCUCUGAGUCUCCGUUUCCACAUCGGAAACAUGGGCAUAAUAACACUGCGUACAGCUAUCAUGAAGAGAUAAUGAACGAUUCAAAGAGGUAACUUAGUGCCUGCCACAUAGCAAGUGCCCAAUCAAUAUUAGCUGUUACUUUUAUUGUAUUUAUUCAAAAGUAAACUAAGUCUCUCCUUUCCAGGUAUAAAUAUAAGCUGGCCAAAAAUAGCAUUUAAAAAAUGUGUAAGAGGACACGGACGUUUUCUAAGGGAGAGGGCAGUUUCGGUUUCCCCUCAGUGGUCCUCGCACUGUGUGGAGGAGAGGAGAGGAACCUGUCUCUGGUUGUGGGUACCAUGUUGUAGGAAACGGUUUGGGGGAGGGGCCCCAUGAGUUUCUCUCAACGUGGCUGCUCAGUGACGCUCACCUGCAUUCAGCUUUAGGAAGGGGCCCCACACUGUAGCACAGACCUGGUACUUCCCCCACACUGUUGGAGAGCCUGUACCCGGACACAUGGGAGGCUCCCACACAGGCCCGCGUGACCGCCCCCCUCCCACUGCCCCUUCCUGGGAAGGGGAAGGGUGGGCAAGCUCUGUGACUCACUCCCUGGCUCUGUGCCCUCUCGCUGAGUCACAAUGUAAUUGAUCCCUCCCUGCGCCAGGUUUCUACUCUCAUGUGACCCAAAGCAGGGUCAUUUCCAGACCAGGGUUGGGGAGGCCUGGCUGGGGAGAGGCAAUCCCGGGAAGGAGGGGCAGACCAUCAGAACCGAGGAUGGCACUGAGCCUUGUGCGUGACUUUCCUGGAUAUCUGCUGAGGUGUUGUGUUUGUAAGAGGGGUUGGUCUACUGCCUACCAACAUAUACAUAUUCUCAUUGGCCUCCAUUGGUGUUUCCAUCAGGGUAGGGCUGUCUGUAUAAAAUAAUGCCAAUAGGAAAUAAUGAAGGUCUCUGGGCACCUCCUUGAAGAUGCCCUUGGUGUUUGUGCUUCUGGGACGAGGCUGGUCAUCUUUAUUUCUAAAAUGAGUUGUGGGCUUGGGGAAGCUGAGGAGUGGGAGGUAGAAGGGUGGGGAUGUGUGAUCCACACAUCAUAUGAGGGCAGUGUCACCCCUUGGGCCACAACCUUAUGCCACCCUUGGCUCAGAAAGAAAAGGACGACCUCUCAUCCUGAUGCAAUGGGAAAUUCUGGCUGGCAGGGAUAAAAUCACAAGUACUGGCCUGGUGGCAGAAGGCAGAUUUAGGGUCACCUCUGCAAGGUCUUCUCCGAUAGACAGAUCUGGGGUGUGGUUUAUAGGCCCCUAUCCAGCAAUUGUCACAUGGGCCUUGUUAUUGACAGCAUCACUGUCCCACCUUGGACAGGUCAUGUAUCUCUCUUGGUAUCCUCAGUUAUACACUUGGCAUAAAAUUCUCUUUUUUAUCCCAGAGAGGCAUCUAAUGAAUGUAUAAAGCCCUAAGAAAUAGCCAAUGAUAUUGUUAUAAACUUGCCCCCUCCCCAUUUCCCUGUUGCCUGCCCUUGUCCUGACCUAUGAGCUGGCAGCCACACGGUGGGAUCUGUGCCCCCUUUGGGUCUUAGUGACAGUUCUCAGUCCCAGUUCAGAGACGAUUCCUGCUCAACCUCUGAGAGCAGAGUCAGGGCUUGAUGGGGUUUCAUGUCAGGAGUCACUCCUGUGGCCAUCGAGCAACAGAGGGGGCUUAAUCCAGGCUCUGAUGGGAUUCAGGCAAAACUUGUGUGCCCUUGGGUCACCUGGUUCCCCUCUCUGGACCUCAUUCUCUGAUUUAUGAGAUGGGGAUGGUAACCCUUGCUCCGUACCUCCUGGGGAGUGGGGAGGGCCAGAGGCAAGGGUGGGAUGGCUUCUCAGAAUGCAGGGUAUUUAUAUUGUAGACCUGCUCCUUUCCCCACCCACCCUGUCCCUGCCUCUGCACAGUCCCGGACUCACAGCGGCCUUGAGAACAGAAAGAACAGCCUAGUUCUCACAUCCAUCCUCCUCCUCCUGAUUAUUUCUCCCAAUCACACUUAAUAGCCGCCUGGCUUUUGGCUGCAGCCCGGUAUAUAAUAACCUGCAAUUAUUGUCCACUUAAGCUGUCCCCAGGGCCUUGUCUGUUGCGCUGCCCAGGCCCGCACCGCCAGCCUGCUGAUUUCCCCGUCAGAGUCGUGGCCAAUGGGAAGAAAGCCCCUGAAGGGCUGGACUGACAACCUGUUCCGCAGGGCUGUCCCCCUCCGCAGCUGCAUCUUCUUCAGAGAUGGGGCCUCAGAGGCAGCCUGCUCCAGCCACAGCCUCAUCCAGCCUGGGUGCCCCACUUCUCUGGGCCAUCCAUGGCCAUCCUCUUCCUCUGCCCCAUCCAUGCAUUGUCUCAUUUCAGCCUCUGUGCCUUUGUCUACCCACACCUGAUGCUCCUGCUUACUAUAGCCCAGCCCCUUUACAGGCUUAGUUCAUUCUCUCUGCAUCCUUAUAAGGGAGGCAUUGGCAUUUUACAUACCAGGCUACUGAAGACCAGAGAGGUUGGGUGUCUUUCCUAGGACCACACAGCCAGGAAGUGACAGAGCAAAAAUUCAAAAUCAGUUUGGUUGACUCCACCGUUCGCUUGUUUAAUCCUGAUGCUGUGCUGUCAGCUGUCUUCAUCACAAGUCCUAUCCCGCCUUAGUGGUGCUGCUCAGUGUUCCCUCCUUUGGAAAGCCGGCUCCAUCACUGCAGUAGCACUGGUCUCCACUACUCUGAAUGCUUGUGACCCUAGAGUUGGAACCAGGUGCCCUGGAUCCCAUGAAGGCAGAUCAUGAGUCCCCCUGCUUGCCCCUCCUCUGCCGUGUUGAUUCACAAAGCAUCUCUGUGCACAGACUGGAUACAGCUGAGCUCCGGUCAGUGUUCGAGUCUCCCCUUCCCCGAACUUUGCUUCAUAUUCUCUUAAGCCUCUCUCCCAGAGCCUGAUCCUUCUGCUCCUGACAAGUUUCUCCCCUACCUGUAUGGUAGACAUUUGCAUUAUGUCUGUGGCUCUACCUGGCCAUGAUAGUGGUGAUGCUGAUGCUGAUGCUGAUGACAUAAGUUGAUCCUAGGCCAUGAAAGGACAUGUAGGUCCUGUGCCACCGUUGGGAGAAGGCAGAGUCUGAGGGUGUUGGUAUUAUCACACCAUUCAGAAUCUAUUAAUUAAGUGACCAGAGGGACAAAAGAAAGUGUCCAGACCCUAAGUGAGGGCCUUUAUCCUGAGUGCUGGCUAUCUUGGCAUGUGUCUCUGUGUGUCUGUCAGUGAGCGCAUAUGUAUGUGCGUAUGUGUGUGCAGGAUCUAGAGUGCGGUGGUGACAAUGGGCUGUGUGGCCCGUUGGGGCCUAAGGUGAGUAGAGUCAGGACUCACCCGACUGUAGGCUAGAGGGACCUAGGGCCUGAGAGCUGAAAGGCUUUGAAGGUUGCUGUGUGCAGAGGGUCUUCCUGGCUGCUGUCGUACCAGCGGUUGCACUGAGCUCUGGGCUGUCAGUGGCGGAGGACCAGGAGGCCUGUGGCCUAGUCCACCUACCUACCUAGGCCCCAGGCUGAAUGUUCCUCUCCAGCUUUGCCCCAGGGACACUUCCUUUCCCCUUCCAGGCUCACUCACCCUUUGCAUGAAUGUUCCUCACACCUGCUUGCAUUUUUCAGUUCUUUGUCUUGGAAACAGAUUCUCAGCAAGAAGACUGUUGGGAUAUAGGUUUUGGGGAGCCCAAGGCCCUCUCUGGUCCCUCAAAUCUUACAGGCUAAGUCUGAGGCUGGCCUGAAGGUGAACUGCCAUGAGGAUCAUCUGGUGCCUCAGGAACGAGCCAGGCUUCCCUCUUGGAUGCCACCGUAGAGUCAUCGGUUCAGAGGGAGGCAGUGGGCCUUCUGCCUUGGCUUCUGGCCAGCCGCCCUGGUGCAGACCCUGUCAUCUCCCAGCCCUGCCCUGACUCUCAGGCUGCAAAUGCCCCUGUCAUCUGGCCAUCAGCCCAGGGGUGAGAUCUCUCCUGAAGGGCUAGGAAGGGAUCCUCAGGCAGGGGCAGCACAGGUGAGCACAGGGGCCAGAACCAGCCAUGCCACCUGCCACCUGAAGUAGCAUUUGGAGACUCUACAUUGAUGGGGCAAACGUGCCAUGGUCUUUAUUUUCUCUAACUGCCAUUUUAUUCUCCUGCCCCAGGGCCCCAUCUCUUCUGUGUCAAGGGGACAGAAAGCCUUCAAAAGUGCUUGUAAAGGGCCACUCACUCUCUUUUCAGGGUAAUCCUGUCUUAUGUGGGCAAACCAUCCAUCUUUGGAGGAUCUUCUCCCCAUCUCCUCUCCAACCAAAAUGGCAGCUGAGCAAGGUUUCCUCCUGAUGUGCAUCCUGCUUCUGGAAACACCACCCCUCCAUCCUGAUCAUCAUUCGUUCCAUGCCUAGGAAUUCAACUCACUUGAAUAUCAACCUACAUUUGAAGGCAUGGAGUUCCAAUAUAAAAAAGACACUCUCCUGUAGUGCCUUCCAAACUCUGCGAGUUUAUAAGAACCGUGUCCCCCUCAUUCACCACUAUAUUACCUGACACAUGAUUUAAAUCUUGCAAUCACCGCUGGGAAGUGAGCUGUAUCAUCUUGAGAAAUCAGACCACAGAGUCGGGCCUGCAGCUGGCAGGCUAGGUCAUCUUUAAUCGCUUAACCCUUCAUAUCAAAGGAUGGGUUGUAGCAGCAGAUUCUUCCUCAAGAAUUUGCCGUGGCAGAUUUUCUCAAGGAAAAGCUGGGAGUUAAAAGGAAGCAGAGUAUGUACAGCAAAAACCUUGCCUUAAAUGCACAUUAACAAGUCAAGUGUGGGCAGUGCUGGCGUUCUCCAGUGAUACUUUACUGAGGCCUUGGGAAGAAAGCCAAGAAGAAACCAGCCCAGGGAGGAUGCUGAGGAUGCUGCACUGUGACUUGCUCCUCAGCAGCGAAAGGAUUCCCCUCAUCCCCGCUUCCAGCUCAUCUUCAUGGGGUGGGCAUCACUUCCGCACCUGUUACCCAGGAGCGCACCCCGGGCGUCUUGACUCCUUGAAGAACGGUGCCUAUGAAAUGCGGCUCUGAGAGAAACAAGAUUCUCUUCGCUGCCUGAGGCCUGCCUUUCGGGAACCUGCCACCUCUUUGGAUAAUUGACUCUAGGGAUGCUUGUCCCUCUCAAGGGAGACCACGUGUACUUCCAGGGACAAGACUUUUACCCUGCAGACCACAACAGGGUAUCCGGAUGUAAUUAUAAUGAUUGGCCUAAUCGAGAUGGCUCUACUCACGUGUAAAAGCAGAGGUUGUGUGAGAAAAUUCUGUGUGUGUGUGUAUGUGUGUGUGUGUGUGCGCAUAAAUGCAAGAAUGUUGGCUCAGAAGUCAGGGCACAUGACUUUUACAGUUCCAGCUCCAGUCCUAUCUUUUUAAACAAAUUUUUAAAUAGUUUUUAUUUAUUUAUUCAUUUAAGUGAUCGGUACACCCAACAUGGAGCUUAAAUUCACAAUCCCAAGAUCAAGAGUCGCACGCUCUUCUAACUGAGCCAGCCAGGCACCCCAGCUCCAGUCCUGCCUUACAAGAAAUUUCUACUCAGUGUGACCUGAGGGAGCUUAGGGUAGAACCUAAUCUGCUAUUAAUACCAGUCCUUUGGGUCUGAAGGACAUUUUUUUUUUCUAAGAAUCCUGUCUUAACACAGAGGAAAACUCACAAACUCCUUUGUUCUUGGUUAACUCCUAAGUGGAAGUUAACAGACAAGGCAGGGGGUGGAUGCUUUGGAGAUACUAGGGAACUCUGAUGCACAUGUGGACACCAGGACUUAUUACACUUCAUACUUUAGGUUGUAUCCAGGCCUGGACCUGCCCAGCUUUCUUGCAAAUAAAUACAUGUCACGUACUGCUCAAAAGCAUGUGCUACAUCAAUUAGGUCAGAGGCUCAAUAUGACUGAUCUUUCUUCUUUUUGUUUUCAUGUGGGAGAUUUAAAGAUAUUAUGUGGAGGAGAGAAAAAAAUGAUUGGAUUAAGUAUAUUAUUAUUAACAUGAAAGAUAUAUUAGCAUAUAAUAUACAUAUAACAUAUAAUAUAGUAUAUUAACAUAUAAUAAUUAAGUAUAUUAUUAUUAACAUGAAAAUAACUGGCCUUAUUAACUACUGGCAAUUGCCAAGCCCUAUAUGAAGCCCCUUAUCCAAUAUUAUUUAUCCAAUAAUCCAGUAGUAGAAUUACUACUCCAGUUUUCCAGAUAAGGAAGCUGAGAUCCUUAACUGAAAAGUUGAACUGUCUCAUCUAUGGUUGCUGCUAAGUGUUGGAAGUAAACCUGAAUAUAGCAGGCCUGUAUGGUGUUAAAGCACUGCCUUUAUUUUUACUUAAAUUUAUUUUGAACUAUUUCAAUCACACAGAAAACUUUAGAGAACAACACAAUAGACACUCAUGUUCCUAUCACCCAAUGUUAUUAGAUCUUAAUAUUCUGUCAUACUUGCUUUAUAUUUCAGGGUAUUUUUUAAAGGUAGGAAAUUUGUCUUUUUAAAAUUUGUGUGUAGAAAUUCUUUGUAGAGUCUGGAUGUUAAUUAUAUGAAUUGCAAUUUAUUUAUGAUAACAAGCAGAAAGUUUACAUUUAUUUAAAUGUAAUCAACUGUUUACGGUGGAGGUUUUUAGUCUUGUUAGGAUUUUUUCAUGGUUAGUGAUUGGUGGGUCCUAUUUUUGAAAUGUUUUUCUUUGUUAUCACCAAGAUAGCCUCCUUUUUCAGUUUUUUAGAGCGUUUCUUCCCACACCUAUCUGGAAUUUAAUGUUUGUGAAUGCAGUGAAGUGGAGCUCUACUUUCAUCCUUCCAAGAUGGAGCAAGACUUACCCCAAGACACUUCAUUCACCCUCGUUCUCCUCUGUGCCGUAUGAAAGUGGCUUCUCUGCUCUGUGUUCUGUCUCAUUGUUCUGUGGUCUGGGGCUGUGCCAGCACCAAACUAUUGCUUUGUUAGAAAACUCGAUAUGGGCAGGGCACAUCUCUUCAUGUCAUUCUUCUGCUUGUCCUUAGGUAAUUUGGACUUCUUACUCAUGCAUGUUAGGAUCAGCUUGUGUAGCUCCAUAAAAAGCCCCAUCAGAAUUUGGAUUGUAAUUGCAUUGAAUUAAUAUAUUAAUUUGGGGGUGGAAUUGAGCCUUUAUACAAUCGAGCCUUCCCAGGCAUGCACACAGUAUAGCUUUCCAUUUGUGGAAGUUUCAUGAUUCCCAGUAACAUUUUAGAAGAUUUCUCUAUAAAGUUCUUAUGAAGAUUUUUUUCACUUUUAUUCUUGAGGAGUUCAUCAUUUUUCUUGCUGUUGUAAAUGAGAUAUUUUUCCUAUUAUUUCUUCACAGCGCAUAGGAACGUUGUUAGCUCCUUAAAGAUUGCUUUUUGUACAUGAGAAUUGCUUAAUUUUCUUAUUUGUUCUAAUACUUGAUCAAUACCUUCAUAUUUUCUGUAUGUAAAAAUACGUUAUCAUAAAUAAGGUUGGUUUUUAUCUUCCUUUCCAUUUUUUAUAUCUCAUUCUUUAAUCUUGAUAUUAUUAGUUGGCUAGGACAUCUAGUAUAAAAGCUUUUUAUGUGCCUAUUGAGAAAGUCAUACGAUAUGUCUCCUUUAUAUUAGAGCAUCCUUACCUUCCUUUGAUAAAAGUAUUUUUGAAAUAUUUUUAUAUUUUUUAUGAAAUUUAUUCGUUUAUAUUUUAUUUAGGAUUUUUAUAUCUGUGUUCACAAAAAUGUUUAUAAUUUGAUUACUUGUGCUGCCUUUGUCACAUUUUAGUAUUAAAAGAUGGGUAACUUUCUCUUAUUUUUCCUUUCUCUGAAAUAUUUUAUAAAAGAUAUGAAUUGUCUGCUCCUUAUAGAUUUGCUAAGUUACCUUUAAAAUUGUUUGCAUCUGGUGUUUUGGGGGGGAAGGAGAUUUUGAUAACUGAUUCUAUUUUUUCUAGCAUUAGUUUAUUCAAGCUUUCUAUUUCUUCUUGAGUCAAUUUUGGUCAUUAAUAUUUUUCUAGAAAACUUCUCUUUCAUAUAUAUUUUAUGGUUGCCUCCAGCUAGAUGCAUGCAUUAAGGUUCUUGUUCUGUGUUGAUAUUGAGGGAUCUCACAUCCAGUCACACAAUCGGUGGUUGUCUAGCUUCACUUUCUAGCCACAAAAGUCUAUGACUUUUUUCUCCCUCUGAUUUCACUGUCUAAUGUCUUCCACGCCUGUUGCCCCUGGCUGCAGGCUACCAUUUUUCCCGGGCCUCCUUUUGCUUAUGUGGGAGCUCUGCCUAGCCCUGGCUUCAUGCAGUGAUCCUAGCUUUUCCAUCUAACUUCAGUCUCCUAUAAUCUCUCUUCGUUAACCGGAGGAAGCCAAGCUCUAAGAUUACCACUCCUGCUUCCAGCUCAGGCUGCAGCAGAUCCAUGGGUCUGUUCAGUCUCUUGAUUUUCUGUUCUUUUUCUGGUCCACAGCAAUUGGUUUUGGUUUUAUUGUUUUUUUUUCUUUAAAAAUUUUAACUUUUUGUAGCAGAGAGAGUUGUUAAAGAUGAAAGUCAUUGAGUUGUCUUGAAUGGAGGUUUCCCAGCACCUGCUUUUAACCAUUAGACUAUAGUGCCUCUUUAAUUAAUCACUCCUUUAGCAAUAUCCAGUCAUCCAUCCAGGAAAUUGCUAACUUGUGCACAGUUUCAUGCUCCCUGGAUUGAAGCAAGUGAAGUUCCUUUUGCUGAGAUUACCCUUAUUCUAGCCUAGCACAUAAAUAGAAGGGGUCAUGAAAUCAGUAUUUGACGCUCUUUUAAUGUCUUGAGUCCACUUGCCCCUCCUCCUUGCCCUUGACACUCUCCACUCUAGAGAUGAGGAAAUAGAAGUUCAAGGAGCUAAAAUUAUUGGAGCAAAUCUUCUCUAGGUAAUGGGAGACAUGGAACUAGAACACCUGGGUAGGCUGAUAUCAAACUUGACGUCUCCCCUACAAGAUUAGAGGUUCUCAGUUUUGGUGACACGUAGUAACACUGGGCAUCAUUUAAACAUCCUGAUAUCCUGAAUGGAUUGAGAAUUUUAGAGGUUGAGAAUUUUACAGGUUGGGGUCCAGACUUCUGUAUUUUUUCUAAAUUUGCCAGGUGCUUUCCGAGGCACAGUGAGAUUGAGGAACCCACCACUGAGUAAUGUCCUUUCUCGUUUACUUAAGCCUUCCUUUACGCUCUGUGUUUUUUUUUUUUUUUCCAAUGGCAGCCUUCACCCUAUAAGUAAGUGACACGAGCCAGGUCAUUAUUGUUCUCUCCAUCUUACCCUAUUUUAUAGUAUCCUCCUCCCUCCCCUUUGUUUUUGAUGAUUAAAACUUUUAGCAUAGGAUGUCUGUUUUGUUGCUUCAUGAUCAUCAUCAUAACAAUAACAGUUUACUUUUAAUUGCUCAUUUAAAAUCAACACACUAGUUUCCUUGGUAAGUGUGUAGAUGAAAUAUAUGUGUACACACACACACACACACACACACACACAAAUACACAAAUACAUAUCAGAGGGUCCUGAACACUAAGUAAUCACAUAGCAUAUUCAGUGCUUAGAAUUGGGUCAAUCUCUGGCCCAAGAGCACAUGUGUGCCAUAGGAACUAGAUCCUGCAUAACUGUGUGUCUUUGCUAGCUCAUUGCUUGCUUCCCCCAAUGUGAGCUAGUCACUUUUCUGAAUCUUGUGCUUGUCAUCUCCUUUAAAACAGUUUUAUUAUAUAUGUACAUUUCUAAGAUUAUGUUGCUUGGUUGGUUAUUUUUAAUUUUUUAGAAAAGAAAUCAUGUUGCCUGUAGUCUUCUGGAACCACCUCUUUUUUCCCCCCCAAAAUAUCGUAUUGCCAAGAGUCAACCAUAUUGUUAUGUGUAGUAGCUACAGUUCAUUAGUUUUGAGUGCCUCACGAUAUUUCAUUGUGGAGUACUCUAGAAUUUACUUAUCCAGUUGGAAUGUUUCCAGAUUUUUGCUUCCAAGAAUAGUACUACUAUGAAUAGUUUUGUACAUUCUUCCUGGUGCACAUAUGUACAAGUGUUUCUUGAGUAUAUACCUAGAAGUGGAAUUAGGGGGUUGCAGGGUAUAUGACAUGUGACUACUUAACUUGAUGAGAUAAUGCCAAAUUUUUUUCCAAUAAGGUUUUACCAGUUUACUCUCCCCCUGACAAUCCUAUGUAUCUAUAUAAUUUCUAACACUUGAUAAUGGCAUCUUUUUUUUUAAAUUCUGCCAAUCAAAUGGGUAUCAGAGGCAUCUAAUUAUGCAUUUCCUUGAUAUUUCCUCCAAUGUUUAUUGGCCAUAUGUAUUUACUCUUCUGUGAGAUGGUCGUUCGUGUCUUCUGUCCCUUUCUAUCAUUUUUUUUUUCUCCUUUCUUACAGAUUUAUAGUAGUUCUUUAUAUAUUCUCCACAUGAAUCCUUUUUGAUGGUCUGUGUGGCAAAUGUGUUUUUCCAAUUUUUACUUUAUCUUUUCCUAUAUUGCAUGUGUAAGAUCACACUUUGGCAUCUUCAUUUAGCACUAUCAACUGUUCCCCCCCAAAAAGGCUUGACAUAGUCAUUUGAUGUAUUCUAUAAUGGUUACAUUAGGUUUCCAUGAUUUCCACUAACUAUCUGUUAAACAUGUGUUAGGGUCCCAGUGGUAGACAAAUACUCCAAAGUAUUUCUCUGCACUUUAAUGGGGGGUUCUGAGGCUUAGGAUUGUGACUUGGAAGAAAUGUUUCUGGGUAGAGGGGCCACCAUCCCUCAACUCAAACCUGUCUACACCCACUGCUCCAUGGGCAGCUGAAAUAUGUUCAGGAUUCACAUCUUAUAGAACUCUUCUGAAAUACAAUUCCCCAGGAAGCUUUCAUUUUUCUCCAAGUAGUAAAACUCCCACUUCCUGAUAGUUACAAAGAUAGGUUUUGUUGUCAUAAUGCUUUCUCUGUGUGCUGCUUUGCAAUCAGAGUUUUCACCACUCAAUGGAUCCAUCACCGAGCAGCACAUUACAGCAAACGCAUAUCCGUUUGCCUCUAUUAUUGUCAUAAUCAAAAGGCGGGGCUACAUUGAAAUAUUUGCUUCGUGCAUGCAUAUCUGUUAUCCGAAGGGCCCUUUAACCUAAAUGGUGUGCUUUCUGUAAUGUCUUCGGUUAAUGAAUGGGUCUGUGAGGGCCUCAGAGCAGUGCAAUGUGGGAAGAACGCUAUAAUUUCUUUUUAACAUGCAGGAAUUCUGAAUACGAGAAAAUGCAUGCCAAAUUUUAUUGCUUCUAAAUCUGAAUAAUUGUAUUUCUGGGCUGUGCAUCUGGGUAGAUAAUAAAGCCACAAAACAAUUUAAUGAAACAUAUAAAAAAUAAAAUGACAUUACUAAAUAUUAUAAUAUGAAGAAACUAUUUUUUGCAUAUUGUCACCUAAUCUUUCAACCAUAUAGCAACAAAUAAUGCAACCAUAAUUGAAAGUUUUAUUAUCCAUCUGAGUAAAUUGAGCUCAAAUUUACCUUGUUCUCGUUAGUUGGUGGGCAAGCCUAUUGGGGCUACUGACAGGAUUUCAUUUUCGUGGUGGAUUUUUUUUUUUUUUUUUGCCCUUUCUAUGGAAUCUAAAGUGGUCAAUAAAUAGCCCUGCUGCUUAAUCGAUUCUGAACUCAGCUCUUCAGAAAGCCACUCCUCGGCCCUGUGACCCAUGCUGGCAGCCAGCCCUGUGUUUGCUGAGUUUCAGAAACUGGCUCCAGUCUUCCUGGUCCUAAAGCCCCACAAACAUGCCAAGGAGCCCAGUGUCUUUACUCCCUGUUUGCUGCAGGCCCUACUUCCUGAUUGCACUCACACAACUCCGGAGGGGAUGCUCCAUUUGCUAUGGGAGGAAUUAGCAUGGACUCUGAAGUGAGAGCGGGAAGAGACUGAUGGGCUGGCCUAUCCACGAGAUUGCUCAUUCUGCUUUGCGAAGGUCCACAAACUGUCUCCCCCCCGCCCCCAUGGCAGAGGGUGGGGUGGAGGCCGUGCCACAGGAAGAAUCCCUGGCAUUUCUGAUCUAGAGACCCAUGUGUGAGCCCCCACUGCGAGGACUCAGGCCCACUCGUUCUUAGGGGAGUGUGGGCACCUCCAAGCCUCGGGAAAAGACAGCACAUCUUUCUGAAGCAUCUGAAGGGUUGUGGGAAAACUAUUGAUUUCAGCAGUAAUUUUUAGUUAUGCUUAUUGUAAGAUGUUUGGCCUUUUCCUGGAGCUUUGGUUUGAAGAAUCAGUCCACCUGGCUGUUUCCCUGUUUUCAAGUUCACUGCAGUGGGCCUCUUGAAAUUGUCCAAACUGUGGGCUGCCCAGAUGUGAGAGGAUGCUUCAUCAGGCAGACUCAGGGGCACCUCACAGCAAGAAAGCUGGGGCUCUGGCAUCACCCUGUCUUUCAUCUCCCAUGUCUGCAUCAGAGAGAGCUAGCAGGAGGAACUAGCAUUAGGCAAGUGAUGCUUCCAGAACCGCUUUCCCCUUCAGAGCUCUGGAAUAGAGUCUGGGCCUCAUUUUAUUAGACUCCCCCUACCUUUUUUCUCAGGGAUCUUGUUCCCCUUUUCUGCCCGUUGGCCUGUUCAGGCCAACUCUGCUCCAUCUGGUGUGUUUCACUAACUUCAUGCUUCAAAGAGAAGGGGUUGGGAGUUUUUUGUUGCUUUUCUCCCAAAGCUCUGGUGUGCUUAGGCAGAUGGGCCCAGACCCUUACCCUCAGCCUCCAGGUAUAGAAGGGGGAGGGCUGGAAGGAGGUCCAGCACCCCUGACCUCAUUCCUGACCCUUCACUGGAGGUCCCAACAGGUCAAAAGUUUCCUUCACAUGUCCCUUCCCCCACUGGAGCAAAUAUGUGGGGCACUUGGGUUGUGCUCUCUAUCAGCAUAGAGCCCUUCUGCUUCAACGGUAACAAAGUCCCUUCUUGACAGAUGAUCCAUGAGGAUUAGGAAAACCUCACCACCGACAAACCCCUCUCCCCACUGACAGCAAGGUUAUGUUGAUAUUUUGGAGAAACUGUUUUUAAAAAAAUGUUUUGUUCUGUUUUUUAAUUUUUUUUUUCAACGUUUAUUUAUUUUUGGGACAGAGAGAGACAGAGCAUGAACA